rnacentral:rRNA from 1 species
UACGGAGGGUGCAAGCGUUGCUCGGAAUCACUGGGCGUAAAGCGACCGCAGGCGGCCUGACAAGUCGGAUGUGAAAGCCCUGGGCUCAACUCAGGAAUUGCAUUCGAAACUGGUAGGCUCGAGUACGGGAGAGGGGGGUGGAAUUCCUAGUGUAGAGGUGAAAUUCGUAGAUAUUAGGAAGAACACCGGUGGCGAAGGCGGCCCACUGGUCCGGUACUGACGCUGAGGUGCGAAAGCGUGGGGAGCAAACAGG